UAACGAUAAGAUAUAUGAGAAUUGUAUCCGCCGUAAAUCUAAGGUUUCCUACGCGAUGGUCGUCAUCGUAGGGUUAGUCGGGUCCUAAGCCGAGUCCGAAAGGGGUAGGUGAUGGCAAAUUGGUUAAUAUUCCAAUACCGACUUAUGGAGCGUGAUGGGGGGACGCAUAGGGUUAAGCGAGCUAGCUGAUGGAAGCGCUAGUCUAAGGGCGUAGAUUGGAGGGAAGGCAAAUCCACCUCUGUAUUUGAAACCCAAACAGGCUCUUUGAGUCCUUUUAGGACAAAGGGAGAAUCGCUGAUACCGUCGUGCCAAGAAAAGCCUCUAAGCAUAUCCAUAGUCGUCCGUACCGCAAACCGACACAGGUAGAUGAGAUGAGUAUUCUAAGGCGCGUGAAAGAACUCUGGUUAAGGAACUCUGCAAACUAGCACCGUAAGUUCGCGAUAAGGUGUGCCACAGCGAUGUGGUCUCAGCAAAGAGUCCCUCCCGACUGUUUACCAAAAACACAGCACUUUGCCAACUCGUAAGAGGAAGUAUAAGGUGUGACGCCUGCCCGGUGCUCGAAGGUUAAGAGGAUGCGUCAGUCGCAAGAUGAAGCGUUGAAUUGAAGCCCGAGUAAACGGCGGCCGUAACUAUAACGGUCCUAAGGUAGCGAAAUUCCUUGUCGGUUAAAUACCGACCUGCAUGAAUGGCGUAACGAGAUGGGAGCUGUCUCAACCAGAGAUUCAGUGAAAUUGUAGUGGAGGUGAAAAUUCCUCCUACCCGCGGCAAGACGGAAAGACCCCGUGGACCUUUACUACAACUUAGCACUGCUAAUGGGAAUAUCAUGCGCAGGAUAGGUGGGAGGCUUUGAAGUAAGGGCUUUGGCUCUUAUGGAGCCAUUCUUGAGAUACCACCCUUGAUGUUUCUGUUAGCUAACUGGCCUGUGUUAUCCACAGGCAGGACAAUGCUUGGUGGGUAGUUUGACUGGGGCGGUCGCCUCCUAAAAAGUAACGGAGGCUUGCAAAGGUUGGCUCAUUGCGGUUGGAAAUCGCAAGUUGAGUGUAAUGGCACAAGCCAGCCUGACUGUAAGACAUACAAGUCAAGCAGAGACGAAAGUCGGUCAUAGUGAUCCGGUGGUUCUGUGUGGAAGGGCCAUCGCUCAAAGGAUAAAAGGUACCCCGGGGAUAACAGGCUGAUCUCCCCCAAGAGCUCACAUCGACGGGGAGGUUUGGCACCUCGAUGUCGGCUCAUCGCAUCCUGGGGCUGGAGCAGGUCCCAAGGGUAUGGCUGUUCGCCAUUUAAAGCGGUACGCGAGCUGGGUUCAGAACGUCGUGAGACAGUUCGGUCCCUAUCUGCCGUGGGCGUAGGAAAGUUGAGGAGAGCUGUCCCUAGUACGAGAGGACCGGGAUGGACGUGUCACUGGUGCACCAGUUGUUCUGCCAAGAGCAUCGCUGGGUAGCUACACACGGAUGUGAUAACUGCUGAAAGCAUCUAAGCAGGAAGCCAACUCCAAGAUGAACUUUCCCUGAAGCUCGCACAAAGACUAUGUGCUUGAUAGGGUAGAUGUGUAAGCGCAGUAAUGCGUUUAGCUGACUACUACUAAUAGAGCGUUUGGCUUGUUUUUU
rnacentral:rRNA from 1 species